AGGUCCUUUGCUUGUUCGCUGACCGUCUGUGUUGUUGGCUAGCAAGGUCAUGUUGUGGUUCCCUUCACUUUCUUUGUCGUCUGCCGCUCUGUUACCUUGGUGGUUCCCCGUCUUGCUAUUAAGAAAAACUAUAAUGUUACUUGCAGUGGUGAUGAUAGCGGGUCUUCCGAAUCGCUUCCUCGGCCUAACAACGCAACCUACAGACCAACUGUUAUCAACAUCGGUAUGAUGCUGGUAAGCACACCAC